GACGAACGCUGGCGGCGUGCUUAACACAUGCAAGUCGAACGGAAAGGCCCUGCUUUUGUGGGGUGCUCGAGUGGCGAACGGGUGAGUAACACGUGAGUAACCUGCCCUUGAGUUUGGGAUAACUUCAGGAAACUGGGGCUAAUACCGGAUAGGAGCUCCUGCUGCAUGGUGGGGGUUGGAAAGUUUCGGCGGUUUGGGAUGGACUCGCGGCUUAUCAGCUUGUUGGUGGGGUAGUGGCUUACCAAGGCUUUGACGGGUAGCCGGCCUGAGAGGGUGACCGGCCACAUUGGGACUGAGAUACGGCCCAGACUCCUACGGGAGGCAGCAGUGGGGAAUAUUGCACAAUGGGCGGAAGCCUGAUGCAGCAACGCCGCGUGCGGGAUGACGGCCUUCGGGUUGUAAACCGCUUUCGCCUGUGACGAAGCGUGAGUGACGGUAAUGGGUAAAGAAGCACCGGCUAACUACGUG
rnacentral:rRNA from 1 species